GCCAGACUCCUACGGGAGGCAGCAGUGAGGAAUAUUGGUCAAUGGUCGGGAGACUGAACCAGCCAGGCCGCGUGAGGGAUGAAGGUACAGAGUAUCGUAAACCUCUUUUGUCAGGGAACAAAGGCGGGGACGUGUCCCCGGAUGAGUGUACCUGAAGAAAAAGCAUCGGCUAACUCCGUGCCAGCAGCCGCGGUAAUACGGAGGAUGCGAGCGUUAUCCGGAUUUAUUGGGUUUAAAGGGUGCGCAGGCGGCACUGUUAGUCAGCGGGGAAACCCCGGGGCCCCACCCCCGCCCCGCCGUUGAAACUGGCAGUCUCGAGUUGGAGAGAAGUAUGCGGAAUGCGCGGUGUAGCGGUGAAAUGCAUAGAUAUCGCGCAGAACUCCGAUUGCGAAGGCAGCAUGCCGGCUCCACACUGACGCUGAGGCACGAAAGCGUGGGUAUCGAACAGGAUUAGAUACCCGAGUA
rnacentral:rRNA from 1 species